GGUUCGCUGCCGACAACGUCACGAGAAGUCCACUGAACCUUAUCAUUUAGAGGAAGGAGAAGUCGUAACAAGGUUUCCGUAGGUGAACCUGCGGAAGGAUCAUUGUCGAUAUCGAACGUAAGGACGACCCGCGAACAGUCAUUGCGAACAAGAGAGGGCCCGGGGGCGCACGACGCUCGCGCGGCUCGCGUCGCGUCGGCGUGGACCCACACGAGGCCCUCGUCGUACCGACGGGAAAACAACUUCAGCACGGAUAGUGCCAAGGAGCUGCACGGAGAGAAUCGCCGUCCCACGUCUUCGUUCGCCCUCGAUGCGGGGCGGUAGGCGGGGGGCGCGAGCGAUCUCCGCUCAAAGUCUAAAUGACUCUCGGCAACGGAUAUCUCGGCUCUUGCAUCGAUGAAGAACGUAGCGAAAUGCGAUACUUGGUGUGAAUUGCAGAAUCCCGCGAACCAUCAAUUCUUUGAACGCAAGUUGCGCCCGAAGCCAUUCGGCCGAGGGCACGCCUGCCUGGGUGUCGUGAAUCCACUUGCCCCAGGGCACCCUCGUCGGUGCACGUGCAUCGGCGGGGAAUCGCUCGGGCGCAGAACGUGGUCUCCCGUGCGAUCGGCACGCGCGGCGUGUCGAGGCGCGGUUGGCCGAAAAAAGGGCGUGGAGGUGACGAGCACGACGGCGUUCGGUGGAUCGAACGAGAUUGGCUGCGUCGUGGUGUCUCGGAACGCGUCUCGCUCCGGGCUAUUUACGAUCCCUAGUGCGAUCCCAGGUCAGGCGGGGCUACCCGCUGAGUUUAAGCAUAUCAAUAAGCG
rnacentral:rRNA from 1 species